GACGAACGCUGACGGCGUGCUUAACACAUGCAAGUCGAAGGGAGUGGCGAACGGGUGAGUAACACGUGAGUAACCUGCCCUUUUCUUUGGGAUAAGACUGGGAAACUGGGUCUAAUACUGGAUGGUUUGGGUUGGGCUCGCGGCUUAUCAGCUUGUGGGUGGGGUGAUGGCUUACUAAGGCUUAGACGGGUAGCCGGCCUGCGAGGGUGGUCGGUGCCACUGGGGAUGAGAUACGGCCCAGACUCCUACGGGAGGCAGCAGUGGGGAAUCUUCCGCAAUGGGCGAAAGCCUGACAGAGCAACGCCGCGUGAGUGAUGAAGGUCUUCGGAUCGUAAAACUCUUUUAUUAGGGAAGCGGUACCUAAUCAGAAAGCCACGACUAACUACGUGCCAGCAGCCGCGGUAAUAC
rnacentral:rRNA from 1 species